rnacentral:lncRNA from 1 species
GAACAUUCUCUCCAUGGCCCCCACAAGCCAGAUGUCUACUGAAGAUGUGUGCGACCUACAUUGUGCUUCUGUGAUCCACAUCAUGCAAAGAACCAGCCAGAAAAAGAUACUUUGAAACAAUAAAUAAUUAAAAGGAUGAUUAGACUGGCAGAGAGCUCCUGUUGGUGAGGAAGAGAGCAGAAGAGAAGCCAUCUGUCACCGGAAGUAGGAUCCCAGGGAAAGAGAGAUGCUUAUGGAACAUUUUUAAAAACAUUUGUGGUAUGACAUGGAAUGUAACCACCUCCCUCUGACCUCCACCAAGAAAUAUUGUAAAAGUCUACAAAACCCAUCAAAACUUUGGGUGUCAGUGAUGUGAGGAAAUUGGAACCAUUGUUCACUUUUGGUGGGAAUGUAAAAUGUACAGCUAUUAUGGAAAACAGUAUGAAAAUUUCUCCAAAAAUUGAACAUAGAAUUACCAUACGAUCCAGCAAUUACACUGGUAUGUAUCCAAAAGAAUUGGAGGCAGAGUCUAAAAGAGAUAUAUGUACACCCAUGUUCAUAACGCAUUAUUCACAAUAGCCAAAAAGUGGAAGCAACUCAAGUGUCCAUUGACAGGUGAAUGGAUAAACAAAAUGUGAUAUAGCCAUACAAUGGAAUAUUAUUCAGUCUUAAAAAGGAAGGAUGGGUCCGGCCCCGUGGCCAAGUGGUUAAGUUCGCGCACUCCGCUGCAAGUGGCCCAGUGUUCGGUUCGAAUCCUGGGUGUGGACAUGGCACUGCUCAUCGAGCCACACUGAGGCAGCGUCCCACAUGCCACAACUAGAAGGACCCACAACUAAGAAUAUACAGCUAUGUACCAGGGGGCUUUGGGGAGAAAAAGGAAAAAAAUAAAAUCUUUAAAAAAAAAAAGAAAAGGAAGGAAAUUCUGAUACAUGACACAUGUUGUAACAUGGAUGAAGCUUGAGCACAUUAUGCUAAGUGAAAUGAACUAGUCGCAACGAGACGAAUACUGUAUGAUUCCACUUAUAUGAGGUCCCUAGAGUAG